UGCCUUUGCCCAACGACAACACCAUCAUGGUAGCGCUACCGUAGAGUGCGUAACCUGCAGCCACCAUAGCUCUACCAGGUUGCAAAACGUUCUUGACGUUGAUUUCGUUGCUCUCGUCAAUCGUCCUGCGAGAAAAGAUUUAACACAUAAAAUACAAAAAAAUGAUGUGAGCUGGCCAAGACUUAUCCGAUCAUUUUUUUUUUGUUCUGUCAACAGGGUGUUGUUGUGAGUAUUGCGGACUUGAAAUAAUAAUUAAUUCAUACUUAUAAAUUCCGAAGAUGGAUCCGAUGGAUACCAGACAGUCUAUGUUAGACGAUCCGUCCAAUGGGUCGAAGCACACGAUGUACUUUCCCCGUUUUUCAGUCUCGAUCUAGAAAACAUCCAAUCGUUAAAUAUCAUAAGGUACAAUUAUCGUGGGACGUGUCGUCCCCCUAUCACCGGUAUAGUUACCUCUAUGGUAGUUUCGUUUUCUUCGCUCACCAACAUGUUCACCUUGUAGGACGAAGCCAACAUGUUGAUAAACAAUUCGUUGCUGAGAACGUCCAAUUUUUUCACGUCUUCCCCUUGCACGUUCGUGGAACCAGCCAUGCCG